rnacentral:rRNA from 2 species
UCUUCCACAAUGGACGAAAGUCUGAUGGAGCAACGCCGCGUGAGUGAAGAAGGGUUUCGGCUCGUAAAACUCUGUUGUUAAAGAAGAACAUAUCUGAGAGUAACUGUUCAGGUAUUGACGGUAUUUAACCAGAAAGCCACGGCUAACUACGUGCCAGCAGCCGCGGUAAUACGUAGGUGGCAAGCGUUGUCCGGAUUUAUUGGGCGUAAAGCGAGCGCAGGCGGUUUUUUAAGUCUGAUGUGAAAGCCUUCGGCUCAACCGAAGAAGUGCAUCGGAAACUGGGAAACUUGAGUGCAGAAGAGGACAGUGGAACUCCAUGUGUAGCGGUGAAAUGCGUAGAUAUAUGGAAGAACACCAGUGGCGAAGGCGGCUGUCUGGUCUGUAACUGACGCUGAGGCUCGAAAGUAUGGGUAGCAAACAGGAUUAGAUACCCUGGUAGUCCAUACCGUAAACGAUGAAUGCUAAGUGUUGGAGGGUUUCCGCCCUUCAGUGCUGCAGCUAACGCAUUAAGCAUUCCGCCUGGGGAGUACGGCCGCAAGGCUGAAACUCAAAGGAAUUGACGGGGGCCCGCACAAGCGGUGGAGCAUGUGGUUUAAUUCGAAGCUACGCGAAGAACCUUACCAGGUCUUGACAUACUAUGCAAAUCUAAGAGAUUAGACGUUCCCUUCGGGGACAUGGAUACAGGUGGUGCAUGGUUGUCGUCAGCUCGUGUCGUGAGAUGUUGGGUUAAGUCCCGCAACGAGCGCAACCCUUAUUAUCAGUUGCCAGCAUUAAGUUGGGCACUCUGGUGAGACUGCCGGUGACAAACCCGAAGAAAGUGGGGA